rnacentral:RNase_P_RNA from 1 species
AUACUCACGUAAUCGCUGUAUAGUAAUUCUAUGCAGAGGAAAGUCCAUGCUCACACAAGCUGCGAUGCUUGUAGUGAUCGUGCUUGACGAAAACAUAAGUCAAGGUAGCCUGUAUGGCUAACGGCAGUGAAAAAUCCUAACUCUUUUGACAUGGAUGAGUACACUUGAAAGUGCCACAGUGACGCAGUCGGAUUGGAAACGAUCCGAGUGGAACGCGGUAAACCCCACGAGUGAGCAACCCAAAAUUUGGUAGGGGCACCCUUGAUUAGGGAAUUGAACUGAAAGAGGGACAGGCAACUAGCCUGUAGAUAGAUGAUUACGACCGCUGUACGAGGCUGACCACCGUGAAAAGUACAACGGAACAGAACAUGGCUUACCGAG